UCCUUAAGCCAUCCAUGGCAUACAAAAUUUCCAACCCAAAUGUUCACAGGAUCUUAUGCUUCAAUCCACCUCUCCAAGAAUUACUAUAAAUAGCACAACUCCUAUAUCCUCUUAUCAUGCAAAAACACAAAAACUUAAAAACAUACAAAAUGAAGACUCCUACCACAUUGCUUUCAUUUGCUUUUGUUGUUCUAUUUUUAUUUUCAUUUUCAUGGGGAGCUUUAGCCCAGAAUCAUGAAGAUUUCCUCCAAUGCCUUUCCCUUCAUUCCCAAAACUCAACCUCAAUCACAAAAGUGAUUUACACUCCAAAUAACUCUCCCAUUUGUCUGUUUGAAAAUUCUCCAUUAAAAAAACUUGAGGUUCACAUCACCCUCCACACCAAAACCCCAGUCAUUGUAACCCCAUUGGAUGAAUCCCAAAUCAAUCCACCAUCUUAUUGCUGCCAAACCCAUGGAAUGGAAAUUGGACUCGAAGUGGUGGGCAUGACUUCGAGGGGUCUCUCUUUACAUUCCGAGGUCUCUUUGUUCAUCCUCGACCUCAUAAACCUUCAUUCCAUCGUUGUUGAUAGCGAGAAUGGCAUGCAUGGGUCCAAUCCGGUGCCACUAUUGGGACAGUUUAGUUGUAGAGUUGUGUAUUACAGAAUCGCCGAGGAGCAGGAGAGAAAGGGGAGGGAAAAGUAGGAAAUUAUGGAUUUCCGGCCGUGGUGGUUGCCCUACUGUGGGGGUUUUGGGGUGUGGAGGACACUUAGAGGGAGGAAGGCUAUGGCAUGAUGUGAGGAAAAUAUGGCCCGCAGCCGAUAAUGUCGUCGUAUGUGAACGAAAUACUUAUCGAUGUAAUGGCAACAUUCUUGAUAGAAAGGUCAUGGGGGAAGACCUUUUUUUUUUUGGGCCAAUUAGAGGAGGUGGAGGGGCUAGUCUAGUUUGGGGGUCAUUGUAGCAGGAAAAUAAAUUGGUGUUGUCCAUCAAAGGUGACUGUUUUCACAAUUAAUAGGAAACCUUGGGCAAAAAUGCUGCAACAAACCUCAUCCAUAAGUGGGCAAUCCAUGCCCACAAGUUCCCUCAAGGAAUGCUCGUUUGAAAGAAAAGUAGAAAAAGAGCGGGUGGAUAUAGACAAUGAUAUAAUGAGAGGAGAGGAGAGGCACAAUGCAAGGCCUUUUUCACCUCUUGUUACCUUGGUUGGGAUGAUCAGUCAUCCCGUUGAUGCAAGGAAAGCUUCCCGAGCUAGGCUCCUUUGACGAGAGAAGGAGGGAGAAUGAUUUGCACACCGAGAUGAGCUUUGGAUCGAAAUCCAUCUCGACUUCGCGGGAUAUUUCCUAGUGGAUCAUCACUCGAUGUUUGCUAAACAGGACUCAGUUUAAGUCACGAUACUUUAAGGCAAAAAUCGACAGUGAAGAACCGAAAAUAUGAAAGGGGUGAGAGGGAAAGGAAGGGCGGGAGGGGGGAGGAAAAGAAGAGGACGGGGGAGUGAGUUGGAGGGAGAUGGCAUAAUUGCAUUGAUCCCAUAGGAGGGAAAGGGGGAAAAUGAACGAAGAUUUCGGAAUAUCGGAGUCCUUUUCAUCAUAGAGAUGGAAUCUCUACAAAAUAUUUGCAUAUGGUUUGUAUUGUAUUGGGACGAGGAGGAAGGGAGGAAGGGCAGACCGGCAGAGGAAUCAGGAGCACAUUAAGGUUGGAUACGGAGGAACUUUAUAGUGUACAUGGCGAUCCUUAUGAUUUCCAAAAUUCCCAAGAGCUGCUUUUUAUCAACUAUAGAGAUCGUGACGUAGGGGUGAACAACAGAAAUGGAAACACAAAGGCUAUGCACAAGCCCAGCAGUUGGGGGAUGAAAUACUUCAAGAACAUUUCAAUCGGUUGGUGCAUGUGGAAGACAAGGUUAUCCUUCAAAUUUCUUCAAGAAUGAACAAAGCAUUACCAACUUUGCCUUCAUGGUGGAAGAAGAGAAGAGGGGUAAACUAGGAAAGUAUGGUUUUGGAAAGAAUUAAUUAUGGUUCCUUAAUUAUGAUUACGUAAAGAAGAUUAAUCCAAGAUAUUGAACUGGUGCAUGUAAUAAAGUUUGAUUGCUUGAUUUGUAUUUGUAUAAUGAAAAGUGUUAUAAUUUUUUGCUUGUUUAAUAAAGUAACAUUGUAAUGUUUUAUUUUCUUUCUCCCAGAUAUGCGUGCAUACAUACGUAUAUUUUUAAGCAAGAUGAAUUUUUUCAAAAUUAAAUGCGAAAACAUCUCUAACUUAUUAUUCUUGUCCAUUCUAAUACUAAAGUAUCCUCGGUCACUCAGUCCUUGAACUAUAUCCCAAUUUGGCAAUCAAUUAGUUCUCUAAGUAAUUAAGAUAAAAUAUUCUUUAAAAAAUUUCAAAGAACUUAUUUAAGUUUCUAAACUUAAGAGUUUAUAAUUCUUCGCGUUUUUUUUUUUAAUAUCAAAGCCCUGGUCUUCGACCUCCAAAAUCAGAUAAUAAAAAAUAAAAAGACUAAGAAUUUCAUUGAGUUUGAGUUGGAUCCACGACUCAUGUAG
rnacentral:lncRNA from 1 species